CGCUACCGCGGUUCCUUACACGCUGUGGCCCGGGUGGCUGCCGUCGCUGUCGCCCGCUGCCCGCCGCCCAAGCAUCCCGAGCUGCUUCCCGCCGUGCUGGCCCGGCGCUCAGGUGUUCAUGAAAAAAAUGCACAAAAUCCUGACUGACCGGAAUAAUUCAUGAAGAAGGGGCUGGAUCCGUGGGUCACAGAACACAGGACCAGUUUGCCAUCCCAAGGCCGAAGUGUGACCCCAUAGCCAGGCAUAAAUGUCUUGGUCCCGAGCAGAGCAAGAGAGGAGACAAGUCAGUCUGGUGUCUCGGAUUUGGCCCUGCAUUGCCCACUCCUGCUGGAUCUUGUCCAGUCGAGGGACAAAACAUCCUGACACCUUCCUGAAGAAUGGGAAGAAAGGAGAUUCUGAAAGUACAGAUUGCAAUACCGUGCCAGAGGCCAAGGAAACCGACGCCUGAGGGAUUGCGACAGGAGCCCCGAGGACAGCUGGAGCUGGAGGCAUGCAGGCCCAAGAACGGUGGAGAUACCAGCAAUGACCGAGAGCCACCCACAGCAGCUCCUGAGCUGUCUAUCCAGGACCCACCAAAUGCAGGACACACAGCAGGUCUUUCUCACUUUGCAAUUGCAAAAGCUGGAACAAAGGCCAAAGAAGCCAAAGAAGCAGCAUGAGUCUAAAUGCUUUCAGAGUAACCCUGAGAAAAUUCUCUGUUGAGUUACAACUAGUUUUGCCAACAGAUACUGUGAGAAGAGACCUUCCCUCCCACAUUGGAUUCUACCUUACCUGGAUGCCAUUCUUGAGACUUUGAAGAUCUUAUAUCUACCUUUCAUCAUGCUAUUCCUUCUUCAGCUGUGGGAAUUCUGGUUAACCUUCUCUAUGAGAAAAUGUUAACAUUUUCUCCCUCCAAGUUCUGGAUUUAACUGUCUUACCUAAAACUGGGUCAUUUUAGACUAAAGUACCCUAGACAUUACUGUUUCUCAGAAGUUGCCAAGUUCCUGUCGUGCUUGUUUCAUUUGUGAACGGGGUCCAUGCUGACAGAUGCUACCCGGCCUGGUCAGUGUGUCCUCCGUCAGCUUCUUGGUCCCUUUCUCCCCUCCCUCGCCCUGUCCCAGGUGCAACUCACACAGUGGCAACUCUGCCUCUCCUGGUGGGGCCCCAGUACGUGGCAGAUGUGCUGUGGCUGAUGUGUGAGAGAAAGUGUGGUCUUUGUAAAUGUGGAGGAGCCUGGAGCAGGCCUCCACCCCUGGGAGAAGGUAACUUUAGAGGAGGCCAGCCUUCUCUCAGCGUUCUACCUGGCUCUACCCCACAACUCUUGCUCUAGCCUUUUAGUGUCUAUCCUCAUCCAGGGCAGUUGUUAUUUUCUUUCUUGAAUUAAAAGUAACUUUGGUUGUCAUUUUCA